rnacentral:lncRNA from 1 species
UUUCAUAUUAUUAUAGAAACUGAAAGGCUAACAUCAGUGACAAGGGAAGUCAGAAGACAUGACCAUAUAUAUCUAGCAAGCGUAUGAAUUACUGAACAGAAAACAGAUUAUUCAAAUCACAAGCACGCACACAUAUUUAUAUGGCACAGGUACUUGAGCUAACAUAUGGACUAAAAAUCAAACACACACAAAGUUGACAAGUACUGGAAGAUAACUAGGAAAGGGGAUUAGUACACAAGGUGAACACGCACAUAUACUAGCAGAAUAGUAAUACACAGAAGCACAUUCUAAUAGAUCAAUUAUCACCCAAAUUAACAAGGCCUCAACUAGUCAGGUCCAACAUAACAAGUACUUUAUUAUACAGGUACUAAACUGAACAAAUAAUGAGUUGCUAGAACUUGUCAAGUUUGAACAUUACACAACCCUGAACAUUACAAAAUUCUGAACAUUACACUUCUAAAGUUUACAACAGUUUGAGAUAAGAGAGAGAGAGAGCUUCAGGUUCAGAAGAGAAGCAACAACCAGUAGCAGAGGCAUAAGGAACAGGAGCAGCUGGUGCAAGUGAGGAGCAGCAGCGAGGGGAAGGACAAAGGUUCAGAGAAGAAGAAGAAUAGGUAAUAGCAGUUGGGGAAUGGAGCAGCAACAAGGGGAUGCAAGGAGAAGAAAUGAGGUUCAGAGAAGAAGAAGUAGCAGCAAGAGAUGGAGAAAUAGUAGCAGAGAUUGAGAGAGCAAGCAGCAGCAGGGGCGUGGGAAGAAGAAGCAGCAGCAGGCAGAGAGCAGAAGAAGGAAGAGGGAGUUGGCGAUGGUGGUGGCACACUGGUGGUCUACGAGAUGGAUCCGAGGUGAAGGAGUUGGGUGGCACACUCACGCGGGUGACCAGACACUCGCGCCGGAGUGUCUGAUGUGGCGCGUGAGGGAGCGGCUGGUGUGGUGGAUGUAGGCACUGGAGGUAGGAGGAGUAGUGGUGGCGCUGGGUGAUGGAUGGAGGCGGUGCUAGUUGGCGCUGGGUGAUGGAUGGAGGCAGUGCUGGUUGGCGCUGGGCGCGGACGGUGGAGAUGGAUGGCUUCGGGGAGGAGAAGGAGAUGCUGGAGCUGGGUGAAUGGCUCACCACCACGCUGGCCUGGCCGUGGCGGCGGCCGGUGGUGGAGAAGAAGGGGAGAGGGAGAGAGAUGAGAUGUAGCCAGGCCCAAGGGGAUCGAAGAAGAUGGCUAGGGAUUUUUACCCCUCUCGAUCAGAUCUGCAUUCUUCUUGUUUAGCCCUCCUUGUUUUCUUCUUUCUUCCCAAGUUGGUCCCCUUCUUCUUCAGCUAGCCCUUGUAGGUUAAUUCUUCUUCACACUCGAGUCCCUCUGCAAAAUGCAGCAACCGCAACCUCUUAGACACUCCAAUAUAGAAGGAUUUGGGCCUUAUCACCCUUUUCUGCAAAAGAUGGAGUAGUGUUGUAAAUGUGACAUAAUAUGAGUAUUUGAAUAUCUUUCGAGUAAAUAAUGUGAAAAUAUGAUUACAAUUUGAUGUAAAAAGGCUAAAAAUAUUAUAUGAGGAAAUACUCUAUCAAGUUCCCCCACACUUAAAUCUUUGCUUGUCCUCAAGCAAAGAAAUAUGACAAGAGCAAGAUUGUGAACAGUGAGUUGACUAGAGAAUGAGUGAAGUAGAUCUCCAAACAAAGCAUGCUUUGAACUUUGCUAGUGAAAAUCAAUGGUCAGGAGUGCUUCAAAGCAGCAGGAUACUAGUAGACUCAAUCAUUUUAAACUUUUACAAUGAUAAAAGUGGAUCAACAAGUUCAAAUGAUGAUUGUGCCAAAGGUUCCUAAAGAGAGCAUGAUCCAGAGCACAAAAAAGAACAUAAAUUUGUGAUCAGUUCACUUAUUUAUAGAAGUAAAGCAAUGAUAAUAUUUUAUCGAUCUCACCAAAGGAACAUACCACCGAUCCCGAGAACAUGGUAUACACCUAGAUUGACCAAUUAUUAGUUUUUUUUGUUUGUCUCCCCAAAGGAACAUACCACCGAUCCCGAGAACAUGACAUGCUACUGUAGGUAGUCAGACUAAUUUAUUCAUUAUUACUUAUCUUAAAUGAACAACGCUUAAGCACAAAAAUAGGAAUCAUCACUUCUCCAUGUCUGGUUCACAUGCUACCGAUCCAGGGAACAUAGCAUGCUAAUCCAUAGUGGUUAGGUGAUUGCUCUCAAUGGGAAGACAGUUGGCACAAAUUCAGCAUCUAAACGUGGUGAUCUAGGUGUAUCGAGGUAAAAGCAGAUAAUGAUUAAGUUUUAUAGUGUACUAGGGAUUUGAGCACUCAAAACUAAUAACUUUCACUAAUUUCAGCAAAGCAAGCAGUAUGUAGAUCACUAGUUUACAAGGCAUUCACGAAUCAGUUCACAUAUUCACAUGAAGCAUCAUAUGUCAAAGGUAAAAUUCAGUGGGGCAACAUUUAAGACAUGGCUUAAGCAACCCAAAUAACAUUUGAUUUCAGCAUGUAUCAAUGGAUGAUAUACUCAGAAUGGGUCAUGAAACAGCUCACCGGGCUUUGAUGAUGUAGCACUCGCUCGAUCACCUCACCAACUGCAGCUCUUCUCCUUUGCUUCCUCGUGCGUUGUGACUCCUCUCCUUUUGCUUCCCUAUCCUCAUGCCUGCUCCAGCUUCUCUCUUCAUGUGUGCUCCUUGCUUCUCCUCAUCCCCAUGCCAUGGGCCCACCGGGGUCCCAGGGAAUGUCAUCUCGAACUUGGUCAGCAUGUAGUGAUUCGUGCACAAGCAAGAACCUGAAAGAGCACUCAACGAAAGAGACAAUGCAAGUGGUAGGGAUAAUACCCUCCAAGUCAUCAAUCGAGUAUCCAAUUACAUAAGCAUAGCUAUAAAGCACAUGUUUAGGAUGGUAGAAAUCAGCAAGGUCGACACUAACAUGAGGAUGAAAUUUAUCAUUAAGCUCAAGACUAGCAUGGGAAUAAUAUGUUUCAUUAAGCAUAGGACUAGCAUAAGGAAAAUAAGUGUCAUCAUUAGGAAUGAGAGCAAUGCCACCAACAAUGUAUGUAUGAUCAUGUCCAAGCAAAUAAUUUUUCAAGUCUAGCUUAAUUGAUGGUAUAACACAAUGGAAAGUAGCAGCAAAGAUCUCAUAAGGAAGCAUGUCAUCAAGAGGAUUAGAUAAACCUGCUACAUCACGCUCUUGUAUGACGAUGGGUAAAUGAAUUUCUGGUUCUUCAUCUUCAUCUACAGCAGCUUCUUGUACUUCUUCAGGAAUAGUAGAUGAUGAGUCUUCAACUUGAUCACUUGGAAAUUGCAGCUCUUGAUCAUCUUCUUCCUUGUCUUCUAGUUCAUCUUCAAUCUGAGGUAUCUCAUGCUCAAGGCACUUGCUAUCUUGCUCAGCUGGAUGUGACGGUAUUGGAACCUCACAAGUAUCAAGGGGAAUCCCAGAAUUACUCAGCUCAAGCUGUGAAGAAAUAGUAUUGCCAGCGUUGAUGUUCUUCUCAAUCUUCUUUACUUCUUCCACUAGCUCAUUCCCACUCUUGAUCUUCUUCAUUUCAUCUAGUAUAACCUUCCUAAUAGGAUCAUCCUCGGCACUCCAAGUGAACUCGAGACUCAAAAGUGCAAGCUUGUCUAUGUCAUCGAACUCAUCUUGAGUAGGCACUUGUGUUGAAGGUGUUGGUUGACCAAAUGGAGGACCAUUUAACUCCAUUGGCAACAUCUCCUGGUGCUGAGGUAUAUGAAUAGGAGCUAAAUAAGACUGUUGUGGAGCAUAGUUGUGGCUCUCCUCUUCAUACCUAAAUCCCUGCAUAUGAUUCCUAGAAGCAAGCGGUGAGAUCUCAGGGUUGUUGCUCCUAUAUGACAUAUUCGGGUUUUCAGGCCACCCAUGUGAGUAAUUGUUUUGGUAUGAGCUAUGCUCUUGAGCGAAGCUCAUGCCAAAACAAUCUGGAGUGUGAGAGUAACCACGCUAACAUUCAGCGGGCGAAUGGCCCUGAAAUCCACAAAUAUGGCAUGUAGGAGCAACAUAAGGAUUGCCUCCGGAAUAAGGAUAAUAAGAACUAGGCCUAUCCUCAAAAACUACUCCUCGCUGCUGAGCUAAAUCAUCUAAUUGAUGGGAAAUCUUACUUAUCAGUUCUUGAAUACUUUCCGUGCCGUUUGUAGUGUUGCUUGCAUAAGCAUGAUGAUCUGAAUAGUAAGCCAUAUCCAAGAAGAUGGUUCUAACCUGCAAAAAGGAAAAGAAAACAAACAAACAAAAAUACUAACUAGAACAGGGGUUAGUGGUUAGAAAUAUAUCACAAAUAUAUGGCACAAACUAGAAAAGGAAGAAAAUCUAGUCUAUAGCCUAACACGGUUACUCGACGCUAGUCCCCGGCAACAGCGCCAAAAUGAUCGAUUGAAAGUAUAGCGGGGUUUUUACGCCCCAAACUACGGAUGUCGUGUUCUCCACAGGGUGUCGGGGAAACUGAUCCACGAACACCUAUGGGACUGGCGGACCGAGCCCCUUUCGGUUCGGCGGGGGGCGGAGGUCACACGAAGAGCAGAUCGAGGCGAAGCACACGAGCAGUUUACCCAACAUCGGAGCUCUCUGGAGAGAUAAUACUCCUAGUGCUGCUUGUUUGAUUGUCUUGUGUUCUUGCUCCAGAGAGCUAGGUGCUAUUCUGGCUUCGAAAUGAUCCGGACCCCCUCUACAUUGCGCAUGGGCCUCCUUUUAUAUGCUCAAAGGGGUCACCGACAGGUGGCAAUGCAGAGAAGGGUAAAAAUGUAAAAAGAGUUGGGGUUGGUACAACUACCUGUAUAGUGUACUCUACCUAACCCUGACGGCAGGGGACAAGGGCAUUAAAUGCCCGUCGGUGUCGCCCAAACAGUGUAGAAAAGGACCGUUAGGGGCGCCACCAUCUGCCACGAUGGCGAUCUCGUCAGCAUCGCAUGCCACCGCUUACUGCUGGCUGCGCAGCCUUCCGCCACGCGUGCCUGGAAAGGUCCCCAGGGCGACACGUUGAUGGAUGCGCUGGAGCAUGGGCACAGAGUGGCCGCUUGCCGCGGCAAGCGUCUUGCCGCGGUCGUGGUCUUGUCGCGCCCGGAAGCUUGUCGCUCGCUGGGCCUUGCCGGGACGCGUGGUGCGUCGCGGCAAGUUCCUUGAGAUGCCUUGGUUGGCCUUCCCGGCAAGCUCCUCUUGCCGGGGCCUUGUCUUCUUUACUUGAGUACUUUGUUCUUGAAUGGCUCCAAAGGAUCCACGGAGUAUCUUGGCGGUCGUCAGGCAAGCCUUGCCGCGGGGUGCUGCCACUGCCCGUGCACAAGUUCGGGAUACUAGGGUACCCCUAUUUUAGUACACCGACAGGAGCCCCCGGGCCUGGGCCACACACGGUGCCGAGCGCUGUUUGGCCAAGCCCAAAACAGGGCACGGGCACGCGCGGCCCGGGUAACGCCGAAUCUUACUCCGUAUCCACCGCGCCCUCCCCCAACGGCACGCGUUGAAUGCGGCAUCGUGGGAGAGAUCGUGGGGGGUGUUCUUUAUUCGGAAGGGCGAAAUGUCCGCCCCCUCCCUCUUUAUAAGCAGGGGAAACAGGGGCAGUUUCCCCACUUCACCGGUUGUUACUCCUUCCUCGAAAAUCUCCGUCGUUCCCCCUUUCUUCUCAAAGCCGAAAGAGAGCAGCGCUCCGCCCCCCGUCGCCACCAGCACCACCAAUGUCGUCGAUCUCCCCCGCCACCUCCGCCAUGGCUCCGAAAGCCGACAAGGGGAAGGGCGUGAAGUCGGCCGAGGCGUAGUGGCUCGCGGCGCUGCGGAAGGAGCGGGCCAUCUUCCCCCCUCAGCUCGACGCCAAGGAGCUGAGGGAGUACUAUUACCUCUUCUGGUCGACGAAGACGCGAGCGCAUCCGCGUACGAGGGUACUCCCGGCCGCUGCUUCGGAGCUGGCUCCAAACGGGUACCCCUUCUUCGCGCUAUUCUUCUAUUGCGGGCUCUGCCCGCCCUUCUCGGAAUUCUUCUGCGACAUUAUGAACACCUACGGGCUUCGCCUCCUUGAUUUCACCCCCAACGCCAUUCUGACCAUGGCAGUUUUCACACAUCUGUGCGAAAACUUUGUCGGAGUCCACCCAAAUGUAGCCCUCUUCCGCCAUUUCUUUAUGCCCCGAGUCGAGAGAGGAGAGCCCCUUGCCGGAGGAAUCGCCUGGAUCUCGAGAGUCGGCAAGAAAGAAGCCUAUCUGGAGGGAGAGCUUCGCAGCAAAUGGGAGGAGUGGAGAGCGGAGUGGUGCUGGAUCGUCGAGGAAAACCCGCAGCCGUUCACUGCCGUGCGCCAAGCCCCAACAGUAUGCGGCAACGAUUGGAGCAACGUGGCCCUGGAAGACGACAGGCUGAAGAUCGCCGUCACCCGAAUCCUUCGCCUCAGGCUUGCCGGGCUCACUAUAGGCGCCGUUGGCGCAGAUUUCCUUCGUCGCCGCAUCGCCCCCUGCAGGAGAGAGGGAGACCCGCCUGGGAGUUCAAGAACUCGGCGGAUAUCAUGAGGUUGCGCCCGGGCCUCAAUUUCAACUUCACCGUCCUGGAGCUGGAUGCGAUGCUCCUGGAGUUGUUCAAACGCGAUCCUCAGCAUCCAUUCAUGUUGCCGAGGAGCGUUGUUCCGUUGUGCAACAAUUCUUCACUCGACCAGAUCCGCGCGAUAAUGCCGUUGUGCGAUUCGCACGGAAUCGCCCCAACUUGGCAAGAACCUGCGGAUGACGUCGUGCGGGCGUUCUUCGACAGCCUGGAGGAAGUGCCGAUCCGCGCCGAUGAGCAGAAGAGCCUCAUCCGUGACACUACCGACGCGGAGCUGCAGCGCAUCGCCACUAGGACGGAAGAGGCUGCGGCAGCAGCUGCCGCGGGCGAGUUCGGGUUCACCGUCGAGGAGGGAGAGGCAGCAGAGGCGGCAAGCCUUGCCGAGCGCGAGGAGUUUGUCGGCGAGGAAGAUCUUGCCGGCCAUGAAGCUGAGCCGAGCGAGCCCGGCGAGGAAGAGCCCGAACCUUCAGACAGCUUGCCGCAAGUGGAGCCCCCGGCUGCACCAAGAAGGCGUCUCCGCAAGGCCGGGGACGUAGCGGGGCGGCAGACGGGUCAACAGCCGCCGAGCUGCGCGACACGCUCUACCGCGGCAAGCACCGUUGCCGCAGGAGCGCCUCACGCCGCUGCGGCAACUGGAGCGGGAUCUUCCCGGUCCACCGCCACCGCACCCGCCAAGCGGGCAAGGGAACUUACUCCUUCGCCUCGCCGUACCGGAGGGGAGCCGGACUUCGAUCUCUCCGCGCUCAGCUCCGAUGACGAAGAAGAAGAGUAAGCUUUCUUGCUGUCCUCGUAGUUUUUCAAUCUUGUUGCUUUCAUCUUGUAUCUGACUUGCUUCGAUCUGAAUCCAUUCCUUUUCAGGACGCUGGCCCAAAGAGCGGCGAAGAGAGCCAAGUCCUUGGUGAUUGUCAUCGAAGAUGAUCCCACCGUGUCAGCAGGGGGCAUGUCCGAGACCACCUUGAUGGACCUGGCGACUACUCCCCAAAGCAGCCCCCAGCGCAGCCCCCAGCGUAAGUACAUGGUUUUACUUCUUGCUGACAGGCGCUCAUGGGUGCUCUUUUCUCUUACUGAUCUUGAUUGUUGGAUUUGUGUAGGAGUAGAGCAGCCUCACCAGGAGGGCCCAGAAGCCGCCCCCGAAGUGCACCGCCAAGGGAGGAGUCCCCUGCAAGGGAGCGCUCUCUGGCAAGGGAGAACUCUCCGGCAAGGGCCAGUUCUCCGGCAAGGGACGAUACCAGUGAUCCUCCGGCGGUUGAGACCGCGACUGCAGACCCCAGCACAGGUAAUCCACUUGCCUACAAACUUGCCCUUGGAUUUUUCUUCUUCUGACUUUCCUUUUGCAUAUUUGCUUGACUUCUCUCCCUUCUUCGUUCCUCAGAUCCAUCCGCCGCUGAGCCAAUGGAAACUGAGGCCGCCGAAGGAGAGGCCAGCGUUGAUGAACCCGCCGGUGAAGAGGCUGCCAAGGCUGCCGCCGUAGAAGCCGGCGAGGGAUCCGGCGAUCAUACUGACGGUCACGAGGCCGCAGGAGCGCCAGGCGCUGCACCGACCGCCGAUCCCCCUGCCGCUGCCGCAGAGCUAGGCUCCGAAGAGCCACAGCCCGGCGCCUACCUGAAGGCCGGCGAUGGCGUCUUCAUCAAGCUCCCCUGGGCUUCGAGCUCCAGGGCGCCGGUCGAAGGAGAAACCUUUGACGGAGAGGUGCUCGCUUCUGCCGGAUUGACGCUGGUUGACGCGCCAAGCAGCAGCGACGAGCCUAAAGAGGAGCGGCUGCUGCGGAAGCUGAUGUUGCUCUACCGCGCCCGACAAGCCAAGCUAGCCUCCCGAGAAGCGCUUGUCGCGAAGGCGGGAGUCGACAUUGAGAAGCGCGCGGAGGAGCUCCGGGAUCUCAGGCAGGAGGCUCUCCGGUCCCUGGCGGAGGAGCGGGAGCAACUUCUCGAGGAGCGGAAAGCCUUCCUCCUCGAGAAGGCUGAAGCCGAAGAGAAGCAACGGCUUGUCGCUGAGAACCUAUUCGCGCAGGAAGGAGAGUUGGCGCAGCGCAAGGUGAACCUUGAUAGCCAUGAGGAGGAGCUCGCUGCGCGGGAGCUAGCGAUUGGCGGGGCUCUCAAGGAGGCAAAGGACGCUGCCGCGGCUGCCGAGGCCGCCAAGAAAGAGCUGGAGGCGAAAGUGGCGCAGCUGGAGGCUAAUCUCAGGACGAGCGGCGAGGAGCUUGUCGCACUCAAGCGCGAGCGCGAGAAGGAUGCUGCCGCCCACGGUGAGCUGCAAGGUCUUCUCGCUGAGAGGAGCAAGGAGCUCAGCGCCGCCAAGGACUCCAACGCUGAUCUCGAGCUGAAGCUGGCCACGCUGACUCAGACGCUGGACGGCGCCAAGGAGCGAGAGGUGACCUUGUCGGAGAAGAUCAAGGCCGACGAGGCGCUGCUCGCGAGCAUUGCCGUCACCCAGAACUCAUUCAGGGAGACGGUGGAGCACUGGACCGAGGGUCUGGUGAAUAUCGCCGGAGUCAUCGACGGGGAGCUGGCGUAGCUGGGGAUGGAGGACUUCGGGUAUCCUUCUGACGAGCAUCUCCAGCCCAGCGCCAAGCUCAGCUUGUUCUUCAAGGGCGUGGCGACGGCCCUCCAGCGGCUUCGGGAGAAGAUCCCAAAGCAGCUGGCCGACGAGUCGCGCAAGAUUUGCGUGGGAGUUCUUCAGAAGGUGCUGGUGAAGGUGGCCUUCCGCAACCCAGGCCUCAACCUCACCAACAUCCUCAGGUCCCUGCCGCCCGACGCCGAUCUGGAAGCGCUCAAGGCCCUUGUCGCACCCAUUGUGGACAAGGUGAGCGAGAUCAAGAGGGUUGAGGGCGGUCGCGUAGACUAGGCCGCCUGUAUUAUCUUUUUCCUUGUCGCUGCUGGUCAUGUCAUGGGAACAUUCUGUUAGAGCUACGACAAGUUAUCUUGUAAUAUAACUUUAUUUUGGAUAAUGAUCUCUAUGUUAUUUCCUUUACUAGAUCCCUUGCUUUGUAUGUUUUUACCCUACACUUUUAGGGAACUUGUCGGUGCAGGCACCCGAGCCGCGAGCGCUGAGUGCGGGACGUCAGCAGCCUGCUGGCGGUGCCGCUCCUGACAAGAAACCUUGUUGCGACUAGUUGCAGCACACUUAAGUUGUUGAGCGGACUCGAAACAAAGUAAGGCGCGACUAGCUACGAGUUGGUUCCUCCGUGCACUGGUUUUCCAUACAAAGCACAGUCGUUCGAGGAAGAUAACUAAAGAAAAAAUUAAAACUAAUUGCUCAGACUUUGGCAACUUAGCUUUUUUGUCGUUUGCUUCCCGGCAAGGCGAACCUUCCUUAAACGACGCCUGGUCCACACCAUUAUCUUCUCCUUUCCCCCGGCAAACUUGUGUGCGAGGGUACCUUUCUUUCCUUUGUUUGAGAAAAAGAAAGAAGACAAAAUAAAGAUAUGGGGCCUUUUGGCUCGUUAUUGCUUACCGGGGGUAGGUGCUGCACAAAGUGUCAGAUAAUGUAUGCAAGAAAGAAUGUAGUGCAUGAAAUUGACAAGGUGUGCGGAGCACAUGAGCUUUACUUAUGCACAGGAUCUGCGCCCGGCUUGUAGAAAGGAUUACAUGCAACAUCUGCAAGACUUGUACAAAAGGUGGUUGCCGGAACAGGUUCCGGCAACCGCGCCCUACGGGUAAAACUUACGAAGAUGCUCAAUGUUCCAGGAGUUGCUCACCGGAAUGCCAUCUUCAGUCUCAAGGCGGACAGCGCCAGGCCUAGUGACUUGUUUCACCCGGUAAGGGCCUUCCCACUUCGGCGUCAACUUGUUGGAAUUCUUGGCGGAUUGAACGCGCCGAAGAACAAGGUCGCCUUCCUCUAAGCUUCUGGCAUUAACUUUGCGGCUAUGGUAGCGGCGCAAAGCUUGCUGGUAUCGAGCAGCUCGUACAGCAGCCUGAAGACGGUCCUCCUCAAGGAGCAGCGCGUCAUCUUGUCGCAGCUGCUCUUGCUCAAGCUCAUCAUAAGCGAGCACUCGAGGUGACCCGUAUACGAGUUCCGUGGGGAGAACUGCCUCUGCUCCAUAAACUAGAGCGAAAGGUGUCUGGCCAGUUGCUCGAUUUGGCGUCGUCCUGACCGACCAAAGAACCACCGGCAGCUCCUCAAUCCAGUUUCUUCCGCACCUGCGCAGCCUGUCGAAAGUCCUGGUCUUGAGCCCACGCAGCACUUCAGCAUUUGCCCUCUCCGCUUGACCGUUGCUUCUCGGAUGAGCAACAGAAGCGAAGCAGACCUUGGCGCCAAGAUCUUGGACGUACUGCAUGAAGGUGCGGCUCGUGAAUUGUGUGUCGUUGUCGGUGAUGAUCCUGUUAGGGAUCCCGAAACGGCAAACAAUCGACCUGAAGAACUUGACUGGCGACUGUGCUGUCACCUUUCUCACUGGUUCCACUUCCGGCCACUUUGUGAACUUGUCGAUUGCAACGUACAAGUACUCAAAGCCCCCGACAGCUCGGGGGAAGGGGCCGAGGAUAUCGAGCCCCCAGACCGAAAAUGGACAGGAUAAAGGGAUCGUCUGGAGAGCUUGAGCUGGCUGGUGUAUCUGCUUGGAAUGGAACUGGCACGCUUCACACUUGGUUACUUGUGCAGUUGCAUCCUGGAGCGCUGUCGGCCAAAAGAAACCUUGCCGGAAUGCUUUGCCGACAAGUGCUCUUGCGCCAAUGUGGUGACCACAUAUGCCUCCAUGUAUCUCUGCCAACAGCUUCUGUCCGUCUUCCCGGCAAAUACACUUUAAUUUCACACCGUUGAGUCUUCUUCUAUACAGUAUGUUGUUGACAAACUGGUACAUACUUGACUGUCGGGCUACUUUUUCCGCUUCUUCUUCCUCUUCGGGAAGUUCUCCUGUCUGAAGGAAACGGACAAUUUGCUGUGCCCAUGCUGGAGCUUGUGGCUCGACAACAAGGACUAAAGGCACAUCUGCUGUUGUGGGAACAUCCGCUUCUACGGCGAGAACCUAUGGCUUUGCUGGAGCUUGAUGUUCCCCGGCAAGCUUGUCGGAGCAAAACUUGUCGGGAGCGUCUGCUUCAACGGAACAAACCCUAAGGCUUGCCGGAGCAGACUGCUCCUCAGCACUGUUGGUGUUGAUCUUGGAGACUUUCUUGGCGGCGGCUUCGGGAAGCUCUGCCGGAAAAUAGUCACCAGAAAUCAACUUUCUCUUCUUGCUCUGUCCAGUUGAUGGUGUCACGGAUGGUUGAGUCAGCUUGAGCACAAAGAUCCCUGGUUCCACAGGUAACUUAAGUGCGGCGCACUUUGACAGGCCAUUAGCAAUGUCAUUCUGAGCUCUUGGAACAUGUUCCAUCUGUAGGUCGUCAAAGUGCUCUUCUAGCUUUCUUACUUCAUCAACAUAAGCUUCCAUCAACGGACUCUGAUAAUUCUUGUUCACUUGGCGGACGACAAGCUGUGAGUCACCCCUGACAAUGAGCCUCUUGAUCCCAAGGUCUGCCGCGAUCCUGAGACCGGCAAGCAAGCCUUCAUACUCUGCAGUAUUGUUCGUUGCUUGCUCCUUGGGAAAGUGCAUCUGGACCACAUACUUGAGGUGCUCUCCGGUGGGUGCGACAAGCAGCACGCCCGCACCGGCGCCUUGCAGCGAGAAGGCACCAUCAAAGUACAUCAGCCACUCUUUGUUUGCCUCCUUGACGGGGAUGCUCGUUUCUGGAAUUUCUUCAUCUGGUGUUGGCGUCCACUCUGCUAUGAACUCCGCCAAUGCUCUGCUUUGGAUAGUUGAAGUGCUUUCAAACUUGAGGCCAAAGCUUGACAGUUCCAGUGCCCACUCGACAAUCCUGCCCGUUGCUUCUGGAUUUUGCAGUAUCCUCUUCAACGGAAAGCGAGUGACAACUAUGAUCUCAUGUGCUUGGAAGUAAUGGCGCAGCUUUCUCGAGGCCAUGAGAAGGCCGAAAAGCAGUUUCUGCACACCAGAGUACCUUGACCUAGCCCCCUGCAGAAGGGAACUGACAAAGUAAACUGGGCGCUGCACCAUUCUCUUCUGCAUCUCCUUAUGCGUCUGUGCAGAUCCAUCUUUGUCGGGACCAGAGCUUGCCGGACCAGAGCCUGCCAGACCAGAGCUUGCCGGUGAAGCCCCCUGCUUGUCGCUGGAUGCAUCUGCCGUGGUUGCUGGCUCAUCAUCUACCUCCCUCUCCGCCACUAACGCAGCACUAACGACCUGAUUGGUUGCCGCUAUAUACAGCAGCAACUUCUCUUGUGGCCUAGGUGCGACAAGUGUUGGAGUGGAGGACAGGUAUCUCUUCAAGUCCUGCAGCGCAGCCUUCGCUUCCGCAGUCCAUUUCAUUGGACCUGCCUUUUUCAAUAUUUUGAAAAACGGCAGGGCGCACUCAGCAGAUCUAGAGAUAAACCUGCUGAGAGCAGCCACACAACCGACAAGUCUUCGUACAUCCUUGACGCGCUUUGGUGCUUCAAUCUGCUCAAUGGCCUUGAUCUUGUCGGGAUUGGCUUCGAUUCCCCGCUGAGACACAAAGAACCCGAGAAGCUUGCCGGAGGGGACUCCAAACACACACUUCUCGGGGUUCAGUUUGAGGUUGAUCUUGCGCAAAUUCGCAAAGGUUUCAUCUAAAUCUUGGAUCAGAGUUGCUUUGUCCUUGCUCUUGACCACUAUGUCAUCCAUGUAGGCUUCCACAUUUCUGUGCAUUUGCGGCUCAAAAGCGUGAUGGACUACCCUUGCAAAUGUUGAACCAGCAUUCUUUAAACUGAAAGGCAUCCGUACGAAACAGUACGUGCCACACGGGGUGUUGAAUGCGGUCUUCUCCUCAUCCUCUUCUGCCAUGAAGAUCUGAUGGUAUCCUGAGUAUGCAUCAAGAAAUGAAAGCAAGUCACAUCCGGCCGUGGAGUCAACAAUCUGGUCGAUGCGCGGCAAGGGAAAUGGGUCUUUGGGACAAGCUUUAUUGACAUCCGUAAAAUCGAUACAAAGCCUCCAUUUCCCGUUGGCUUUGCGUACGACAACAGGAUUGGCCAACCACGUAGGAUGGAGCACUCCUCUGACAAGGCCUGCUGCUUCCAACUUCUUGAUUUCUUCUGUGAUGAAUUCUUGGCGCUCCACCGCUUGUUUCCUGACUUUCUGCUUGACGGGCCGCGCAUGAGGAUAGACGGCAAGAUGGUGCUCGGUUACUUUCCUGGGAACACCGGGGAUGUCAGACAGUUGCCAUGCAAACACGUCGACGUUCGCUCGCAGGAAAGCAAUGAGCGCGCUUUCCUAUUUGGGAUCGAGAGUGGCACUGAUGGUGAAAGUACCACCAGUGCCGUCCUCCUUGGCGGACACCUUCUUAGUCUCUGGUGGAGCUGCCAUUGCCUUCUUACACUUGCCGGUGGAGCUCGAUGGUGCGUCCUCGACGGUAGCGCAGCACUCCGGAGAGGUGCGCUUGCCGGAGUGGGCAUCAGAACUCUUGCCGGACUUGGUCUUCUUCUUCCCCUCGGGAGCUUCAGCGGCAAGUGAUUUGCUAUCUGUUGCGGCUGCCGCUUCCCGGUAGAUCUUAUCGGCGCAGAUAAGAGCAUCCUUCUUGUCGCCAGGGACAGAGAUGAUGCUUAUCGGGCCUGGCAUCUUCAGUACGUUGUAUGCAUAGUGAGAGGUUGCCAUGAAUUUGGCGAGUGCUGGACGGUCGAGUAUCCCAUUGUAAGGCAAUGGAAAGUCAGCAACGUCAAAAGUGAUCCUCUCAGUCCUGAAGUUCAGCUCACUGCCAAAUGUCACCGGCAACGUGAUCUUUCCCUUCGGCUUGCUCCUUCCCGGAUUGAUUCCUUGAAAUGUGCCGGUCUCUUCAAGCUCGCUGUCAGGGAUCUGGAGUUUCUGGAGCACCGCGUAGGAGAUCAGGUUCAAGCCGGCCCCGCCGUCAACUAGCAUCUUAGUGACCUUGAGGUUGUGGAUAGUUGGUGAAACCAACAUCGGCAAGCACCCGACCGCAGUUAUGCGAUCUGGGUGGUCCUCAAUAUCAAAUAUGAUAGGCGUGCUGGACCAUUUCAGAGGCCUGCGUGACUCGACGGGUGGUUCUGCCGCAUUGACUUCCCGCACCCAUUGUUUGAGCUGGCGGUGUGAAGUAUGCAGAGAAGCACCGCCGUCAACGCACAGGACCUCUGUGGCUUUCUGGAACUCCUGCUCAUCGGUCUCGUCAUCAUCCAUGUCUUCGUCGUCAUCGUCAUCUUCAUCCUUGUCGCGGCCGCGGGGAGGUCUAUCUCCUUGCCGCUGCUUGGCCUUGCCGCGGCGUCCUCCCUGGCCGGGACGUUUCUUGCCGGAUCCUCCAGCACCUUCCUGGGCCUUCUCCUUGUUGCGCCGCUCGUAUUCAGCCUUUUGCUGCUCGACAAGCUGCUCGACUUUCUUUCAGCUCUGGAGGUCAUGGCUCUUGGUGCGGUGGAUCUUGCAGUACUGCUUGCUGGUGCCGUCCUGCUUGUCGGCGACCGCCACAGCCUCUGCGGCAAUCUCCUUGCCGGGGCCACCAGCUUUGGCUUUCCUGGCGCCACCUCCGUUGCCGGACUGCUCGACAACUAGCACCUCUUUGCCUUUCUUCUUUCUGUUAUUCCGCCCCGGUUUUUCCUUGCCGGGGCAUUAUCCUCACUGUCAGAUCCUCCUGCUCCUAUACUCUCUCCGGGGAGUCUCCUCCCUUCCUCAGCACGUGCACACUUGUCGGCUAGGGCAUAUAGCUCACUGACGUCUCUGAUCUUGCACAUCGCCAUCUCCUCCCGCAUCCUGCGGUUCCGCACGUUCUGAUGGAACGCGCUGAUUACCGCGGCAGGGUGCAUAUCUGGGAUGUUGUGUUGUACGUUGCUGAAUCUUUGAAUGUACUUGCGCAAGGGAUCUCCUUCCUUCUGGGCAAGCAGAUGAAGGUCACUCUCUUGGCCAUGAGGCUUGUGGCCCCUGUGAAGGCGCCAACAAACUGAUGGCAUAGAUCGGCCCAAGAGGAUAUGGAGUUGUCCGGCAAGUGCAUGAGCCAGGAUCGGACGUUGGGUUUGAGUACCAGCGGGAAGUAGUUGGCAAGGAUCUUGUCGUCUUGCCCCCCGGCAGACUGCACCGCGAUGGUGUAGAUGCUGAGGAACUCCGACAGGUGCGUCUUGCCGUCGUACUUCUCCGGUACAUCUGGCUUGAAAUUUUUCCCACUGGGCCACUGGACUUGCCGCAGCUCACGAGUGAACGCAGGGCAGCCUACCGCAUACGGCAAGUCGCCUGGUUCCCCUGGCGCAUGCAUGUCGACAGAAGGCCCAGCGCGCUGGUCGGAUUGACGCUGCGCUUCUCUUCGUCGCUCGAUGCGAGUUCGAGCGUCUUCUUGUUGUCGAUCGUGAAGAACUUGGCACUGAUCACGAUGAGCUCGUGGAUCCGACGAUGCGGUGGAGUCGCUGUCGAGGUGGAUCCGGCGAGUCGAUGAUCUUGGCCUUCGGGGUGGAGAGUGCAUGGUGGUUGCACCCCCACCAGUUUCAUCGCCACCGGCUCGUGCCUGGCAGUCCUGCCGCGGCAGCGAUGUAUUCGGCUGCUGCGGAGUGUCGCCGUUGGCAUAGCCGAUGAGGCUCUGAAUGGUGGCCCUCCAUUCGUCGAUCUUGUCCGACGUUGGAGGAUAAUCCAGGAGCAGUUGAGCUCGCGCCAAAGCUUCCGCUGGAGUGGUGGGCGGCAGUGGCGAACGGCGCGAGGAGCGGGACAUGCUCGGACUUCUAACUAGGUUAGAAGGAGCAGUACCCCGUCCAGGCAACCGUGCCUCGCUCGUGCCGGCGCGCUGACUUGCACGCUGGUCUUGAGCGCCCUGAGACCCACCAGCUUGAUCUUGGUCCAACAAACGUAUGGUACUGCGAAUACCAUGACGCUGUCGGUCUUGCGCCUCCUGAGAGGGGCGCGGCGGAAGUGCGGACACCGAGGUUUGUGCAGCCUUGUCCUUGGACCUGGCAGCACCGUGAGCUUCCUCGUCGAUGUCUGUUCUUCCACCAGCGUCAACCCCACCACCCGUUUGUUCCGGUGGCGGUGAGAUCAACAUGGACAGAGCAGCUGCCUCCGAAGCCUUCUUCUUCGGUGGCAUGUCGAUGAAGAAAAUGAAGAUCUAGCUCGUGUGAACGCCGGAUCAGGUUCACACAAUCUCGACGCCCCCUACCUGGCGCGCCAAAGAUGUCGGGGAAACUGAUCCACGAACACCUAUGGGACCGGCGACCGAGCCCCUUUCGGUUCGGCGGGGGGCGGAGGUCGCACGAAGAGCAGAUUGAGGCGAAGCACAUGAGCAGUUUACCCAGCUUCGGAGCUCUCCGGAGAGAUAAUACUCCUACUGCUGCUUGUUUGAUUGUCUUGUGUUCUUGCUCCAGAGAGCUAGGUGCUAUUUUGGCUUCGAAAUGAUCCGAACCCCCUCUACGUUGCGCAUGGGCCUCCUUUUAUAUGCACAAAGGGGUCACCCACAGGUGGCAAUGCAAAGAAGGGUAAAAAUGUAAAAAGAGUUGCGGUUGGUACAGCUACCUGUACAGUGUACUCUACCUAACCCUGGCGGCAGGGGACAAGGGCAUUAAAUGCCCAUCUGUGUCGCCCAAACAGUGUAGAAAAGGACCGUCAGGGGCGCCACCGUCUGCCACGAUGGCGAUCUCGUCAGCAUCGCAUGCCACCACUUACCGCUGGCUGCACAGCCUUCCGCCACGCGUGCCUGGAAAGGUCCCCAGGGCGACACAUUGAUGGAUGCGCUGGAGCGUGGGCACAGAGUGGCCGCUUGCCGCGGCAAGCGUCUUGUCGCGGUCGUGCUCUUGUCGCGCCCGGAAGCUUGUCGCUCGCCGGGCCUUGCCGGGACGCGUGGAGCGUCGCGGCAAGUUCCUUGAGAUGCCUUGGUUGGCCUUCCCGGCAAGCUCCUCUUGCCGGGGCCUUGUCUUCUUUACUUGAGUACUUUGUUCUUGAAUGCCUCCAAAGGAGCCACGGAGUAUCUUGGCGGUCGUCAGGCAAGCCUUUCCGUGGGGUGAUGCCACUGCCCGUGCACAAGUUCGGGAUACUAGGGUACCCCUAUUCUAGUACAUCGACACAGGGACUAGGCGAUGGCAACUACGUCCGACUAAAGCUAGGUUACCCAAUUGAAUGAUGAAAACAGAAAAUAAACCUAACACUGACAAGGAUCAUCAACAAAGAAAAUGACAGAAGCAAAGGGAGAUGAAGAUUAUCUUUACUCUGUCUUGUUGGUAUUUUCAUAUUAUUAUAGAAACUGAAAGGCUAACAUCAGUGACAAGGGAAGUCAAAAGACAUGACCAUAUAUAUCUAGCAAGCGUAUGAAUUACUGAAUAGAAAAUAGAUUAUUUAAAUCACAAGCACACACACAUAUUUAUAUGGCACAGGUACUUGAGCUAACAUAUGGACUGAAAAUCAAACACACACAAAGUUGACAAGUACUGGAAGAUAACUAGGAAAGGGGAUUAGUACACAAGGUGAACACGCACAUAUACUAGCAGAAUAGUAAUACACAGAAGCACAUUCUAAUAGAUCAAUUAUCACCCAAAUUAACAAGGCCUCAACUAGUCAGGUCCAACAUAACAAGUACUUUAUUAUACAGGUACUAAACUGAACGAAUAACGAGUUGCUAGAACUUGUCAAGUAUGAACAUUACACAACCCUGAACAUUACAAAAUUCUGAACAUUACACUUCUAAAGUUUAUAGCAGUUUGAGAUAAGAGAGAGAGAGAGCUUCAGGUUCAGAAGAGAAGCAAGAACCAGUAGCAGAGGCGUAGGGAAC